UACGGGGGGGGGCAAGCGUUGUUCGGAAUUACUGGGCGUAAAGGGCUCGUAGGCGGCCAACUAAGUCAGACGUGAAAUCCCUCGGCUUAACCGGGGAACUGCAUCUGAUACUGGAUGGCUUGAGAUUGGGAGAGGGAUGCGGAAUUCCAGGUGUAGCGGUGAAAUGCGUAGAUAUCUGGAGGAACACCGGUGGCGAAGGCGGCUCUCUGGGACGGUACUGACGCUGAUGCGCGAAAGCCAGGGGAGCGAACGGG
rnacentral:rRNA from 1 species